rnacentral:rRNA from 1 species
UACAGAGGUGGCAAGCGUUGUUCGGAAUUACUGGGCGUAAAGGGCGCGUAGGCGGCCUACUAAGUCAGACGUGAAAUCCCCCGGCUUAACCUGGGAACUGCGUCUGAUACUGGAAGGCUUGAGGAUGGGAGAGGGAUGUAGAAUUCCAGGUGUAGCGGUGAAAUGCGUAGAUAUCGUAAGGAAGACCAGUGGCGAAGGCGGGUCUCUGGACAGUUCCUGACGCUGAGGCACGAAGGUCAGGGGAGCAAACGGG